GUACCACGGAUUUAUGUUCGUUUGUCCGGGUCACUCUGCCUUUUCGUGUUAAUUACGCGCCGCCUGCUUCGUGCUUAUCUCCUCCGCAAAGCGAUUAUUUUCGACGCCCGCCCUCCUGAGCCUCCUGAGUCGGCUGCCAGAGCGAGGGCCCGUCUCCCGCCGCCACUCGCGAUUUAUUUACACCUCGCAGAACUGCCGCGAUUUCCCCCGCAUUCAGGCGCAUUUCUGGCCUCGGAACACCUCCGCGCCCGCAGAUGCACGCUCCGAAGCUCCCACGCCCGCCUGCCCCCGGCGCGCACUCUAAAACUCCUCGGCCCUCUUACCCUGCUGCUGGCUCCGCAUCGCCUAUUCGCCGCCGCCCGCAGGACUUUGGGGUGGGACUCUGACUUCUCCCGGCUGUUUGCCCCCUGGUUUGUAGCCCAUCCCUCUCUCUCACGCGCGCUCUCUCGCCACCUCUCCCUCUCCGAAGCUCCCACGCCCGCCUGCCCCCGGCGCGCACUCUAAAACUCCUCGGCCCUCUUACCCUGCUGCUGGCUCCGCAUCGCCUAUUCGCCGCCGCCCGCAGGACUUUGGGGUGGGACUCUGACUUCUCCCGGCUGUUUGCCCCCUGGUUUGUAGCCCAUCCCUCUCUCUCACGCGCGCUCUCUCGCCACCUCUCCCUCCCAGCCAGUCCUGUUCUGUUCUCCGUGGGCCAUAGACAAAACAUUCCUAUAAUCCGAUUUCAAAGGUUGUCCACCUUAUUUAAACCAUAAAACAAUUAAGCCCAGACGUCUAGCCAGCUCCGCGCUGCUGUUUUGUUCUGCCCCAUUCAGAAUCCAGCGCAGGGAGACAAACAGCGCCAUAAAAGUGGCAUUUCGGGACCGCGGAAAUGUACCUAUCCUCUGCCUUCCCAAGUGGAACAACCUUUAGGGUUUUGUGAUUCUGACAAAGGAGCAGAGGAGAGGUGGGAGGGGAAGAUUAGGGCGGGGUGGGGGGCGUUUGCCGGCCCCUCUCCCCCCGCCUCUUCCCCGGGCUUUCGCUGCUUUCCCCAGAUGUGUGUUGUGCUGUCGUGGCUUGGAGUCACAAAUGACAAUAAAUAAAAAUCGAAUCCAAUCCUGACCUGCAGGCUGGAGGCUGAGCUGGUACUGAACAGUGGGCUGGGCCGGGUGGGCCUGCUCUGGAUCCCACGCUCCGGCCAGGGCCCUCCUUUCAGAUCGGAGUAA
rnacentral:lncRNA from 1 species